GCAGGCGUAGCUCAGCUGGUUAGAGCGCCAGAUUGUGGAUCUGGAGGUCGGUGGUUCGAUCCCACCCGCCUGUACCA
rnacentral:tRNA from 1 species